GUCUUUGCUUCGGCAAGACAUAUGCUAAAAUUGGAACGAUACAGAGAAGAUUAGCAUGGCCCCUGCGCAAGGAUGACACGCAAAAUCGUGAAGCGUUCCACAUUUUU
rnacentral:snRNA from 2 species